AAGUUGCUAGGCCGGCAAUACACACCCUUAAGACUUUAGGAGCUCUCAGACUAAAGUCUUAAGGGUGUGUAUUGCAGGCCUAGCAAUGC
ensembl:miRNA Mir5709 microRNA 5709